AUUCCUCCGCAGCCUCGCCAUUCUCGCUGCUGCCAUUCUAGCUGGGCGAGGAUCCUUGGAUGUGACGCUCUCUGUUCGCUCACCUCUCCGUUCGCUCUCCGUUUCUCCUUUCUCCUUUUCUCCUCUUUGUUUCCCCUCUUUUGUUUCACCUCUUUCUCCUUUCUCCUUCCUUCGCCUCCAUUUGCACCUCCAUUUGCGCCUCAGAUUGCCGCAGUUCGCAUUUGCUCGAUUGGGUUAUUUGGUUCGAUUGCUCGCAUUUGCGCCUCAGUCCACUCCUUUUCUGUUUCUGUCCAUUGUUCCAGAUACAAAUGGAUUGGGUUGAGAAGUGACUAUUUGAAGAAGUGAAUCAAAAUCAAGUGCUAGCUCACGGUUAUAUGGUAGACUCGUUUAUUAACAUCCAUUGGUGUUUAAUCUUUUCUUUAAAAUCUAUUCAAGCUAUGGUCACCAAAAAAACAGGGCUCGUGCUCAAUUUAUUUAUUGACUUGGAUGGAGCGUUAAUCUUAUCCCCAACACAAAUUACGGCUACCAAGACUUCUCCUCCUAGUAUCUUUUAUUUUUUGUAUAACUCACAUUAAUUAAGAAAUGUUAAUUGCCAAGUGGCUUCAUUCGUGAGAUUUAUAAAAGAAUUUUGUCAAGGUUAA